AAUCAUCUUCAGCAUCUUUACUUGAGCAUAAAAACUAUUAUCGUUAACAAAAAACAUCCUGUUACUAAGUCAUGGCUAAGGUGUCUGGAUCAUCUUUCUUUGGUUUUUUCUUUGUUUUGGCAAUCUUAUUUGCUGCCGAGAUGGCAACAACCGAAGCUCAACUUGUAUGUGAUGUUGGAAAGCUAGUGAUACUAGGUGGUCCUUGCACUAAUUGUCCCUCUAAAUGUUUGAAGAAGUUCCCACUCCCCCUCAUUGUCACAAACCUUUGUGUUCCGGUAUUAGGAACAUCUGUCUGCGCUUGUUGCGUUGUCGAGCAGUCUGCUUAAAACCAAAUCCCUGAUGUCGUGUGUAGUUGGAUGCAGAUCAGCGAGCCAACACAACUUAUCUACCAUUUAAAUAAAUUUGGCUACUUGACUCGUCAUGUGUCUUGCUUAGCCAAUGCUGUUCUUCAGUUUAUGAAUGGGCUAAUAAGACCCAUUGUGUGAUGUUUUGUGUUUGUAACAUGUUUAAUGAAUGAAAUAUCUAUGUUUACGAAUUUAA